rnacentral:rRNA from 1 species
AUUGAACGCUGGCGGCAGGCCUAACACAUGCAAGUCGAGCGGAUGACGGGAGCUUGCUCCUUGAUUCAGCGGCGGACGGGUGAGUAAUGCCUAGGAAUCUGCCUGGUAGUGGGGGACAACGUUUCGAAAGGAACGCUAAUACCGCAUACGUCCUACGGGAGAAAGCAGGGGACCUUCGGGCCUUGCGCUAUCAGAUGAGCCUAGGUCGGAUUAGCUAGUAGGUGAGGUAAUGGCUCACCUAGGCGACGAUCCGUAACUGGUCUGAGAGGAUGAUCAGUCACACUGGAACUGAGACACGGUCCAGACUCCUACGGGAGGCAGCAGUGGGGAAUAUUGGACAAUGGGCGAAAGCCUGAUCCAGCCAUGCCGCGUGUGUGAAGAAGGUCUUCGGAUUGUAAAGCACUUUAAGUUGGGAGGAAGGGCAGUAAGUUAAUACCUUGCUGUCUUGACGUUACCGACAGAAUAAGCACCGGCUAACUCUGUGCCAGCAGCCGCGGUAA